GAUGAAGAACGUAGUGAAAUGCGAUAAGUAAUGUGAAUUGCAGAAUUCAGUGAAUCAUCGAAUCUUUGAACGCACAUUGCGCCCGCCAGUAUUCUGGUGGGCAUGCCUGUUCGAGCGUCAUUUCAACCAUCAAGCCCCCGGCUUGUGUUGGGGACCUGCGGCUGCCGCAGGCCCUGAAAAGCAGUGGCGGGCUCGCUGUCACACCGAGCGUAGUAGCAUACAUCUCGCUCUGGGCGUGCUGCGGGUUCCGGCCGUUAAACCACCUUCAUAACCCAAGGUUGACCUCGGAUCAGGUAGGAAGACCCGCUGAACUUAAGCAUAUCAAUAAGCGGAGGA
rnacentral:misc_RNA from 1 species